ensembl:lncRNA
GCUGAAAUAAGCUGAAUAUUCACUGAAAGGAAGCUGGAUGUCUGUAAACUCACCGUGACAAAUGGACAUGCAUCCUAGCUGCAGUGUGACCAAAAGAAAGAAUGCUGAGAAAGUGAUGGUACCUCCAUGUGCCACACAAGCGGACAGGGAAGCCUGCUGGUGUGGCCCAUGGAUGCCAGUCUUCCAGAGCCCGGAGAAGAGUGGAGAAGGGCCAGAAGUGGAAUCGGAGGAGUAAAUAGCCCAUGUGAGGCUUCUGAUAGAUCUGCCUAGUUUAUAAAACUGCAUACUGCCGUGAGAUGGGAUACCUUCGGAGCAGACUGAUGAGAGAAGACACUUGUCCCAUGUGGCUGCAUCUCCUCUCUACCCCUGGAGAACCUCAUCCAUCACUUGUCAUUGCAGAGACCCAGCUGAUGCACACCCCGGCAAGGAAUUGCCAGUUUGAGCAACUUGUUGGCACUUCCUUGACCUGUGUUGGAACUAUCUGAUAUAUCACAGGACUUCAAAGUUCCCGUAACAGGAUGUAAAUUGUGACAUCGUGCAGGAGGCUUAUAUCAGACCUUCCCAGCGAUGUAAGAGAACGGAACAGAGCCAAAAAUUGCGUCUACAAGUUGAGAAGGCAAUCAGUUAUGUACAGACAUUUUUCCAGAAUGCUGGG